rnacentral:rRNA from 1 species
UACGUAGGGGGCAAGCGUUGUCCGGAUUUAUUGGGCGUAAAGAGCGUGUAGGCGGCCAUGCAGGUCAGCUGUGAAAACUCGAGGCUCAACCUCGAGACGUCGGUUGAAACCGUAUGGCUAGAGUCCGGAAGAGGAGAGUGGAAUUCCCGGUGUAGCGGUGAAAUGCGCAGAUAUCGGGAAGAACACCCAUGGCGAAAGCGGCUCACUGGACAGUAACUGACGCUGAUGCGCGAAAGCUAGGGGAGCAAACAGG